rnacentral:rRNA from 1 species
GAUGAACGCUAGCGGCGGGCCUAACACAUGCAAGUCGAGGGGUAGAAGGAGCUUGCUCCUUUGAGACCGGCGCACGGGUGCGUAACGCGUAUGCAAUCUACCUUGUACAGGGGAAUAGCCCAGAGAAAUUUGGAUUAAUGCCCCAUAGUAUAUAACCUUCGCAUGUUGGUUAUAUUAAAGUUCCAACGGUACAAGAUGAGCAUGCAUCCCAUUAGUUAGUUGGUAAGGUAACUGCUUACCAAGACGAUGAUGGGUAGGGGUGCUGAGAGGGAGAUCCACCAGACUGGUACUGCGACCCGGACCAGAACCGUAGGGGAGGCAGCAGUGACGACUAUUGGUGGAGGGUCGCAAGACUGAACCAGCCAUGCCGCGGGCAGGAAGACGGUCCUAUGGAUUGUAAACUGCUUUGAUACAGGAAGAAACCCUCCAACGUGUGGGAGCUUGACGGUACUGUAGGAAUAAGGAUCGGCUAACUCCGUG